CAUAUUGGAUUCGGGCGGAAGUGGCUAAUAGAACCCAAGCACAGUAGCCGGGAUUUUUAGUUCUGUUGUAGAGAAGUCUUCGGAGAUGCCUUUCGGGGCCGAGGCCUGACUAAGAAUAAUCGUUUCCGCUGCCCACGGUGAGGGACAGAGUAGAAUGGCGCUCGUCCUAGAGCUCGGCGCCAAUGUCUGAAGGCUGCCGGAGGAAGGCCGCUCUAGUGCGAUUCCGGGUUCUUCCGCCUCGCUGGUGGAGUCGGAGGGACCAAAGCAGGCGUUCUGUCCCGUUUCCGGGGGCGUCUCUAUGGUGUCGGCUGGACCGAACUCUGGUCAGCGGACACUGGGGCAGCAGCCUGGAGGGGCGGGGGGAAGGUCAGGGGUCAUAGGUGGUGUUGGUGGCUAAGCAGGGGCCGACCCGAACCAGGAUCCUCUGCCUCUUGGCGCUGCAGUCCCAGCAGGUCUGUGUUUCUGAAAAGAACCUCAUCUCAACUUCACUGCUCAAGGGAUGGGAUCAGAGAAUAGUGCUUUAAAGAGCUACACCCUUCAAGAGCCACCCUUUAGCCUCCCUGCUGGACUGGCUGUUUACCCAGCUGUGCUACAAGAUGGCAAGCUCGCUUCGGUUUUUGUAUACAAGAGAGAAAAUGAAGACAAGGUUAAUAAAGCUGCUAAGCACUUGAAAACUCUGCGCCACCCAUGCUUGCUGCGUUUCCUGUCCUGCACUGUGGACACCAACGGCAUCCAUCUGGUCACAGAAAGAGUGCAGCCUCUUGACGUGGCUCUGGAAACGCUGUCUGCCGCAGAGCUCUGUGCCGGCAUCUACGAUGUACUCCUGGCUCUCAUCUUCCUUCACGACAGAGGAAACCUAACGCACAACAAUGUCUGUUUGUCAUCUGUGUUUGUAAGUGAGGAUGGGCACUGGAAGCUAGGAGGAAUGGAAACAGUCUGUAAGGUCUCUGAAGCCACGCCAGAGUUUCUGAGAAGCAUUCAAUCAUUGAGAGACCAGGGAUCUGUCCCUCCUGAAGAAAUGUCUGCAGAAUUCAGAAUUUUGCCGGAGAAAAAUGGACACGCCCGAGAUGCCUAUUCAUUUGGAAUAAUGGUGGAAAAUUUGCUCACAAUCCUAGGUGAACAGGUUUCAGCAGAUAGCCUCUUGGGCUUCCAGCAGACCUUGCGCGCAACACUCUUGAACCCUGAUCCAGAGGGUCGGCCGGCACUCUGUACCUUACUGUCUCAUGACUUCUUUAGAAAUGAUUUCCUGGAAAUUGUGAAUUUCCUGAAGAGUUUAACAUUAAAGAGUGAAGAAGAAAAAACUGAAUUUUUUAAAUUUCUGCUUGAUAGAGUCAGCGGCUUGUCACAGGAACUGAUAGCUUCAAGAUUGGUCCCUCUACUGCUUAACCAACUGGUGUUUGCAGAACCAGUAGCUGUCAAAAGUUUUCUUCCUCACUUGCUUGGUCCAAAGAAAGAUAAGCAGGGAGAGAAACGGACAGGUUGUUUGCUUUCACCAGCUCUGUUUCAAGCCCGAGUGAUCCCUGUGCUUUUGAAGCUGUUUGAAGUUCAUGAAGAACAUGUCCGGAUGGUGCUUCUGUCUCACAUAGAUGCCUAUGCAAAAUACUUCACUCAGGAGCAGCUAAAAAAAGUCAUCUUGCCACAGGUUUUGUUGGGCCUGCGUGAUACCAAUGAUUCCAUUGUAGCCAUAACCCUUCACAGCCUGGCUGUGCUGGUGUCCCUACUUGGACCAGAGGUGGUCGUUGGAGGAGAAAGAACCAAGAUAUUCAAACGCACAGCACCAAGUUUCACAAAAAUAGCUGAUCUUUCUCUAGAAGGUGAGGAGGCUCCUCAGCCUGUUCAGCUCUCUGUGAAUGGAGUCCCACCAAUGAGAAGUGCUUUAGGAGGUGGUACAAACUUUCCCUCAAAUUCUAAAAAAUCAGGAGAGGAAUGGCCAGAUUGGAGUGAGCCUGAGGAGCCCUCUGAGAACCAGAUGGUGGACAUACAGAUAUGGCCUGUAGAAUCGUGCGAUACUCCUAGGCCUCAGUUCACUAACUUGACUCUGGAGGAGACCUGGGAUGGUUUUGAGCCUACUGAUACUAACACAUCUACAGGGAAUGACCCCAGUCCAGCUAGGCCCAAUAAUACAAGAGAGCAGAAGCAAGAUUCUGUUGUCCUUCCUCUAGCCAAAAAGGAGACCAAGCCUCUAAAAGUGAAUCCAUCCCAAAAGGCUGACCUUCCAGAAAGCUUGGAGGAUUUAAAGCAAAUAAAAUUGCCACAAGAGAGGCCUCCUAAAGCUCCAUCUGAAUUUGGUUUAGGAGAAGAAUAUACUAUUCAGGUGAAAAGAAAACCAAUACAAGAUCCAGAGUUGGACUGGUUUGCUGAUAUGAUCCCAGAAAUUAAACCUUCAGAAGCUUUCCUGAUCCUCCCUGAAUUGAGGACAGAAAGGGUGGUCUCCAAAGAAGAUGCCUCGACUACUUUGCAAUUUUCAUCAAAAUUUGCUGCAACUGAAGCUACAGAGGGAGAAGCUGAGGGCUGGGGAGAAGAAGAAGAAUUAAAUUGGGAAGAAGAUGAUAGUAGCUGGUGACAACUAGCAUGAUGCACACCCCAGAAAUAUUUUCUAUAUUGGUUUUACAAAUUAUUACCUCAACAGCAGGCACCUAGCAGAGAGGUCAUGAUGACCCCAACAGAGCCUAUUUUUCCUGUACCAGGAAGCUUUUUUUUUCUUCCAGUUUGUGCCAAUUGCUGUGAGUAACUGAGACCUAUGCUAAAAGCCAUAGGUGGAAAUAAAGUUCACACCACUGGAUUCUAGAAGAAAGGAGCUAUUUGUAUGUGAGGCCAGAUUCCAUGAAGAACAAGUGCUGUGGAAAGUAAAGAAAAAACAGAUGUCUCCAAGUUCGGAAGAAUUAAAAGGAUGAUCUCAUGGAUGAAGACACCAAAAGGGGAAAACAGAUCAAGAGAGAUGUGAAGUUCUCAAAAAUGAAAAUUUGAAAACUAUAAAUAAUGCUGAAGAGGAAGAAAAAAAGGAGGCAUCUAAGAAGAAUGAGAGGUUGCUGAUGAGCUGCAAUUAAAACAUUAUAUACAAAAGAAGUGGCACACAUAGGGGAACUAUAGAUAAGAGGAAAAGUGGUAGAUGGUAAAAAUAGUAUCAGGAAGAUGAAAGCGUGGACUGAAUUAAGAUUUGUAAAAAUGUAUAAGGAUGGGAUAAAUUAGCAUUACUAGGCAUAGUUGGACCAAGAAUACAGAAGAGACAGAGGGUGUAUCAUGUAUGUUAACAGCUUACCAAGAGAAAUGAGAACAUCUGAUAUUCUAGAAAUCCUGACCAAGUGAUUUUCAAUAAUUUAUUCUAAAACUGAAUUAAGAAACUAUAUAGAUUAAUGCAUUUUAUAGAGUACAGCCUUUUCAAAAGAAAAGAACUAGGCCUAAGUCACUUUUAGGACACAAGUACAAAGGAUUAUCUUCUCAUACCUACUUGUUUUUAAUGCUUAGAUACAUUCUAGUACCACACAACUUGUUUUAAGAGUUUUAAGAGUUUUUUUAAGAGUAAGUUUUCAGGACAACCCAAGCACAAAUGACAUGAAACCCAUUCUUUCAUGGCACUCAGCUUCAAAAUCUAAUUGGUAACCUCAAUUUUUAUAAGAAUUUAAACUCAACGAAUAAUUUACCAAGUGUCUACUAUGGACAAGAAACCGUGCUAGGUCUAGAGUAUACAGACAUGGAUGAAAGCAUCUGUGACUUUAAGGGGCUUAUGGCUUCCUAAGGAGGAAAAAACCCUCUACAUAAAAACAUUAUUACAAGGGAAUCUGACUGUAAAAGGGAAAGAAGAUUAACAAUUGGCUGAGAAGAACAUGGCAGAGGUCAAGGAAAGCCUCACUGAGGAAACGGUAUUUCACUGAGUUUGACGUGAGCUGAGAACAAAAGAGGACGGCCUUCACCAGUGCCUAGACGCACCGUCUCAAAUGAGAAGUGUAUGAAGGUGAGGGUGAAAGAGCUGAGAAUGGUGGGCUGGGGAGCCAGCCAGAGACACUGGACUUUCCUCAUCUGACCACUGCCUUAGGAAGACUAUAUUGAAAACUAAAUGGAGACUAAUCAGAAGGAGGAAAAAUUCGGGGAGGAGAAACUGCACAGAAAGCUACUCCAAUAGGACCAGCAGGAGGCAGUACGCUCCUGACCCAAGGGAGUGGCUAUGAAAGUGGAAGGAAGUAGAAAGGCACAAGAGACACUGUGGAAGCAGAACUGACCAUGCCUGGCAGCUGACUGGAUAAGGGAGUGAGGGAGAGAAGAGUCAUCAAUCAUGACAUGAAAUUAUGACUAUAAACUGGGGUAAAGAGAAGAUGAUGAUACUCUCAACAAAAAGGGAUAUGGAGGCAGGUGGGUAGCUCAGUGGAUUGAAAGCCAGGUCUAGAUAUGGAAGUACCAAGUUCCUAGCCCUUAUCCUUCUACCUUGGAACCAAUACUUAAUAUUGAUUCUAAGAUGGAAGGUGUUUUUGUUUUGGUUGGUUAUGAAGAGGGAAAUGUAGAGGAAGUUACCUUUUAGCAAGUAAGCAAGCCAUUUGAAAUAUUUAAAGAAAUAUAGAUGGAGUGUUCUAAUAGGCAAAUGGAAGUGUAAGCAUGGAGGAAAGAGAUUAGGGCUGUAUACAUAGGGAUGAGCCAUCUGAUUGGCAGAGAACUGAAGCCCUUCUGACUAGGCACCCCAUUUUGUAACCUUUGGGGCAUCCUUCUCUCUUCCCUAUCAUUCAGCCCCAACAUCCAAUCAGCUGCUGUCUUGUUGAAAGAAGGAACAAAUGACCCUGGAGGAGACUAUGGAUUGUUUUCCAGAAAAAGUGUAAUUCCUCUGAUUCUAAGAAAAUGGAACAAAGAGGAGUCUAAUAAUAUUUGGGGAUUUCAAAGAAAAAUAAUGAGUGUUUUUUUUAAUGUUGUCCUGCAAAAUAGAAUACAAAUAAUGUAAGUAGGCAUUCAUUACACAAAAAAAAUUUAACUAAAAGGGGACAUUCAAGCUAUUACAUUUAUAGUAUUUCACAGAAAGGUUAUAUAAAAGUGAACAUAAAAUAGGCUUUAUUUUGGCUCUUUAUAAAUAAAAUACCUUUUCUAGAAAGCAUA